GCAGUGUGUCUUCUCUUUAGUUCAUAUAAAUCUUUCACCUUUUACUAAAGAUUUCCGUAGAGAGGAACAUUUAUUAGAUAGGAUUUAGGUCUACCAUGUUAGAAU
rnacentral:snRNA from 1 species